AACGAACGCUGGCGGCAUGCCUAGCACAUGCAAGUCGAACGAGACCUUCGGGUCUAGUGGCGCACGGGUGCGUAACGCGUGGGAACCUGCCCUUAGGUUCGGAAUAACUCCCCGAAAGGGGUGCUAAUACCGGAUAAUGUCUUCGGACCAAAGAUUUAUCGCCUUUGGAUGGGCCCGCGUUGGAUUAGCUAGUUGGUAGGGUAAAAGCCUACCAAGGCGACGAUCCAUAGCUGGUCUGAGAGGAUGAUCAGCCACACUGGGACUGAGACACGGCCCAGACUCCUACGGGAGGCAGGAGAGGGGAAUAUUGGACAAUGGGCGAAAGACUGAUACAGGAAUGCCGGGGGAGUAUAAAAGGAGUUAGGGUUGUAAAGCAGUUUUACACGGGAUGAUAAUGACAGUAAAGGGAGAAUAAGAUCCGGCUAACUACGUG
rnacentral:rRNA from 1 species